UACGUAGGGUGCAAGCGUUGUCCGGACUUAUUGGGCGUAACGAGCUCGUAGGCGGUCUGUCGCGUCGGAUGUGAAAAUCCAGGGCUCAACCCUGGACCUGCAUUCGAUACGGGCAGACUAGAGUUCGGCAGGGGAGACUGGAAUUCCUGGUGUAGCGGUGAAAUGCGCAGAUAUCAGGAGGAACACCGGUGGCGAAGGCGGGUCUCUGGGCCGAUACUGACGCUGAGGAGCGAAAGCGUGGGGAGCAAACAGG
rnacentral:rRNA from 1 species